UGGCCCCCGUAUCUGGCCUUCCCCCCCCCACCAACAUCUCUCCAAGCCUUAACCUCAUAUGACCCCUGCAAACAUCUCUGGGAUCUCCUAUCAGCCCCCACCCGAACUAACUCCGCCCACACCCACCCUGCCCCACUUCCUGGGCUUCUCCUCAGCCGCCCCCAGGCUUGUAACCUGACCCACCCACCUCCUCCGGCGCCCGGACACUACCUGCGAGUCGGCCCCUCCCCGCCCCCCCUCCGGGCCCUUUCCCUCCGGCCGCGCCGCUCUCCCCUCCUCCCCCACUCGGCCGACCCAAAGCCCGACUCCUCCUCCCCCUCCCCCCGGCCUCCCCGGGCGCCUCCUCACUUUUCCUCCUCCGGCCCUCCAACUUCCCGGGCCUCCGGCACCUGCCCCGGCCCAGCCUUGAGCCUCCCCAUCGCCGAGAGCGAGGUGGGAGAGAGGUCUGGGCCCGAUCCCACCACCCCCAAACCCCACGGCCCGGCCCGGGACUGGACGCUCAAGGCCGCUAGUGAGGGCCGGGCCUCUCCGCACUCGCCGGUCCCGGCACGGUACAGGUUGCGGACCCGGCUCCUUUUCUGUCGGAGGAGCCCCCCCCCCCCCCCGCCACGGCCCUCCCUGCUCAGCCCUCAACCGGCCCUCGGAUGCCCUCGGGCCGCCCCGGCGAAACGAGGCCGGAACCGGGCCUGGGGCGGGCCGCCUCACCUGCGCCGUGGCCGCACUCCGGGGGCUCCCGGCGGGCUCCGCAGCGGCGGCUGGGGCCGGGCCUGGGCCCGGGGCGCGCCCCCCUGCGCCGGGGCCUCGGCCUCCGCCUCCGCGGCCUCCGCGGCCUCCGCCUCAGCAGCAGCGGCAGCCGCGGCGGCCAUUCAUUGUGGGCCAGGCCGCCCCAGCCGAGCGCCGAGCGAGCGCAAGCCGCGCCGCCGCCGCAACCCGGCCGGGGAGGAGCGGCCGCGGCACCGCCCCCGCACCGCCCCAGGCCCCGCCCCCGAGGCGAGGCCAGCUGAGCGCCGAGAGCGUCCCUUCCUCCCAUCUCCGUUUUCUGCUUUCAUCUCCCGUUUUCUGCCUUCGCCCCUCUGGGUCCCCGCCACUACCUUGGCUCUGCUGGAGAGUUCGACUCCCGACCCUGACACUUCCUACUUUCUCGACCUUGGACAAGUCUCUCUGCGUUUCGGAACAUUCGUUUCCUGUAAAACGAAAACAACAAUGAAUUCUAUUUAUUGUGCCAGGCACGGUUUUAGGCUCUUUAUGGGAAUUAUCUCGUUUAAACUUCACAGUAACAUUUUUAAGUCGAAAUCAUAA
rnacentral:lncRNA from 1 species